rnacentral:lncRNA from 1 species
CCCCCCCCCCCCCGCCGCCAUCCUCCACGCCGGCGCUUCGGGGGAAGCCGGCGCGACUUCCGCUUCCGGGCAGGCGGCGCGGGGCUGGCGGGGAGUGGUGGUGUGGGGGGGGAGAAAGGGGCGGCACUUCCGGUUGGGCCCUCGGGUCUCCCCGGAGCGGCGGCGCCUCCUCCGCCUCCUCAGCGUCCUCCCGGCGGAGACCCCAGCGCCGGUGCCGGAUGGCAGAGAGCUAGCUGUUUUACCCACCUAACUUUCACAUGGGUUCCGGGGAUCCGAGCUCUGCUCUUCAGUUUUGCAUGGCAAGUGCUCUGUCCGCUGGACCAUCUCCUCACCCCUGGUAAAACUUGCUGUGUUUAUGUGGAACUCUGUUUGGUGCAUGCCAUGGGGGAGUCUCUUCCAUUAUAGUUUCAUAAACUCUUCCUGGACAACACCACCUCAGAAAAGAGGCCGCCUGGGGCUGGAGAGACGGGUCCACAAUUAGGAGUGCUUGCUGCUCUUGCAGAGAACCCAGCGCCCACAUGGUGGCCCACACCACCUGUAACCCAAAUCCAGGGCAUCUGACACCCUUUUCUGGCUUCCGCUUAGGCAUGUAGGCAGUGCACAGACAGACGACAUGCAGGGAGAACACACACACAAAAUAAAUAUUUUAAGAAGAGGGAGCCAUUUAAGACUUAAAGCAUAGGACUGGUGAGAUGGCUCAGUAGGUAAAGUGUUUGCCAGGCAAGCCUGGUGACUGAGUUCAAUCCCCGAAACCUACUUAACAACCCCAGAGUUGUCCUCUGAAUGCCACACACACCCUCACUCACUCUUUAGCAUAUACAGAGUAAAUAACAUUUAAAUAAAAACAAACCGUUCCGUCCACUGAAAGGAGGAAAUGCCUCAUUCCCAAUCAGGAUAAUAAAUUCCGUCCCUCUUUAGUGACCCCUUCAUUGUGGUAAGGCACCUUACUUUACUGCUUGCAGGAUACUGCCGAUCACGGAAUUGCUUUUCUGGGAGACCUAUGAGCUCCAUCUCUGCUAAAUGCCCCCUCUCUAAGGAGGUUCUAGUCAGCUGACUCUCAUGUGUUUGACUGUGUGUGUGUGUGAGCAUGGGUGCGCGCUUGCUAGCAUGUGCAUGUGAAAGUCAGAGGGCCACUUUUGGGUAGUCGCUUCUCACCUUCCUCCUCUCUGAGGCAUGCACUGGCCUAAUCCUUGAGUUUCUCAGCAGUUCUUCCUCUGUCUGCCAUCUUGGUAAGAGAGUGCUUGGAUUACACAUGAGCACCGCUCCUCCCUAAAUAAACGUGUCUUUAGGGGAUUGAACGCAGCUUGUCAGGGCUAUUCAGUAAGCACCCACUGAGCAUUCUUCCUAGCCCCUUAUUUAUCAUUUGGCAAAUACUUACCAAUAUAAACAUCUGCCGCGAUAGAUUUCCC